CUUUAUCGUACCUUCCCAACUUCUCACCUACGACAGUGGCCCACCGGGGUAGUAUGUGUCAUUUUUAAUUUUUUUCGUGAUAAAGGUCACCUAACCGUGACAAAAUAUCGAGACUGCCAAACUGUUACGAACUGUUAACAUUUUAUCAGUAAACCGUUUGCUCUCGGUUUGCGAUAAUACUGUAUAACCGUUGUUUCAGUUUCAACCAUAGUCGCUACUACUGCAGUGACUGCACAUAACUAUUAAUUUGCAGCAAUGUAGCACAAAGCUAGGUAUAUUGUUUGAAAAAAUUGUACGUUAAUAUCAUGCUAUUUCCGGUAAGAAAUAGCAGUCUGCUGAUGCCAUUUAUUUUAUUAGCAGUUUACCGACUUGGUAACGAGCUGCAUUAAUCAAAACG